rnacentral:rRNA from 1 species
GGGGUACUACACAUGCAAGUCGAGCGGACAGAAGGGAGCUUGCUCCCGGAUGUUAGCGGCGGACGGGUGAGUAACACGUGGGUAACCUGCCUGUAAGACUGGGAUAACUCCGGGAAACCGGAGCUAAUACCGGAUAGUUCCUUGAACCGCAUGGUUCAAGGAUGAAAGACGGUUUCGGCUGUCACUUACAGAUGGACCCGCGGCGCAUUAGCUAGUUGGUGAGGUAACGGCUCACCAAGGCGACGAUGCGUAGCCGACCUGAGAGGGUGAUCGGCCACACUGGGACUGAGACACGGCCCAGACUCCUACGGGAGGCAGCAGUAGGGAAUCUUCCGCAAUGGACGAAAGUCUGACGGAGCAACGCCGCGUGAGUGAUGAAGGUUUUCGGAUCGUAAAGCUCUGUUGUUAGGGAAGAACAAGUGCAAGAGUAACUGCUUGCACCUUGACGGUACCUAACCAGAAAGCCACGGCUAACUACGUGCCAGCAGCCGCGGUAAUACGUAGGUGGCAAGCGUUGUCCGGAAUUAUUGGGCGUAAAGGGCUCGCAGGCGGUUUCUUAAGUCUGAUGUGAAAGCCCCCGGCUCAACCGGGGAGGGUCAUUGGAAACUGGGAAACUUGAGUGCAGAAGAGGAGAGUGGAAUUCCACGUGUAGCGGUGAAAUGCGUAGAGAUGUGGAGGAACACCAGUGGCGAAGGCGACUCUCUGGUCUGUAACUGACGCUGAGGAGCGAAAGCGUGGGGAGCGAACAGGAUUAG